AACUUUGCAACUUUGCAUUCAUCAAAUGGCAAGUUGGAAAACCACCCUUCUACUUCUUACUCUUUUUCUCCUUUCUCUGUUUCUCGAGCGUCUCCUAGCUGAAGCUACUAUUAUCAAUUCCAUUGAUGGUGGUAUGAACAAGGGCUGCAUUGAGGUAGAGCGGAAAGCGCUUCUUGAAUUCAAAAAUGGACUGAAAGAUCCUUCAGGUAGGCUUUCUUCCUGGGUUGGUGCAGAUUGCUGCAAGUGGAAAGGUGUGGAUUGCAACAACCAAACAGGGCAUGUUGUCAAGGUUGACCUAAAAUCUGGUGGUGACUUCUCACGUUUGGGUGGUGAGAUAAGUGAUUCCUUACUUGACUUGAAACAUUUAAAUUACUUGGACCUAAGUUUUAAUGAUUUUCAAGGAAUUCCAAUUCCAAAUUUCUUGGGCUCAUUUGAAAGAUUGAGAUACCUUGAUCUCUCCUAUGCAGCAUUUGGUGGAAUGAUUCCUCCUCAUCUUGGAAAUUUAUCACAGUUAUGUUAUCUUAACCUUAGUGGAGGAGAUUACUACUACAACUUUUCUGCUCCAUUAAUGAGGGUUCAUAAUUUGAAUUGGCUUUCUGGUCUUUCUUCUUUAAAAUACCUUGAUAUGGGGCAUGUGAACCUUAGUAAAGCAACCACAAAUUGGAUGCAAGCUGCAAACAUGCUUCCAUUUUUGUUAGAAUUACAUUUGUCCAAUUGUGAACUCAGUCAUUUCCCUCAGUACUCCAAUCCGUUUGUUAAUUUGACUUCUAUUUUGGUCAUUGAUCUCUCCUACAACAAUUUCAACACUACUUUGCCUGGCUGGUUGUUUAACAUCAGUACCCUUAUGGAUCUUUAUUUAAAUGGUGCUACAAUUAAAGGUCCGAUUCCCCAUGUUAACUUGCUAAGCCUUCACAACUUGGUAACCUUAGAUCUCUCGUACAAUCAUAUUGGAAGUGAAGGAAUUGAAUUGGUGAAUGGUUUAUCAGCAUGCGCUAAUAGUUCCUUGGAAGAGUUAAACUUGGGCGAUAAUCAAGUCAGUGGUCAGUUGCCAGAUUCAUUAGGGCUCUUUAAGAAUUUAAAAUCCCUACACUUGAGCUAUAAUAGUUUUGUUGGUCCCUUCCCCAAUUCAAUUCAACACCUUACCAACUUAGAGAGUCUUUAUCUGAGUAAAAACUCCAUCUCAGGUCCAAUUCCAACAUGGAUUGGAAACUUGCUGCGCAUGAAGAGACUUGACUUGUCAUUCAAUCUAAUGAAUGGGACGAUUCCAGAAAGUAUCGGACAACUUAGAGAGCUGACUGAGUUGUUUCUUGGUUGGAAUUCUUGGGAAGGGGUAAUAUCUGAAAUUCAUUUCAGUAAUCUUACAAAACUGGAAUAUUUCUCUUCACACUUAUCACCCAAAAACCAGUCUCUCCGUUUUCACGUGAGACCUGAAUGGAUUCCUCCCUUCAGCCUCUGGAAUAUCGAUAUUUCCAACUGCUAUGUUUCUCCCAAGUUCCCCAACUGGCUUAGAACUCAAAAGAGACUUGACACAAUAGUUCUAAAAAAUGUGGGGAUUUCAGAUACAAUACCAGAAUGGCUUUGGAAACUAGAUUUUUUUUGGUUAGAUCUUUCUAGAAACCAAUUGUAUGGAAAGCUUCCCAACUCAUUAUCUUUUAGCCCAGAAGCAUUCGUGGUGGAUUUAAGCUUCAACCGCUUGGUGGGCCGAUUGCCACUUUGGUUUAAUGUGACAUGGCUCUUUCUGGGAAACAAUUUAUUUUCAGGUCCAAUUCCCUUGAACAUCGGGGAAUUAUCGAGUUUGGAAGUCCUUGAUGUUUCUGGUAACUUGUUAAAUGGCAGCAUUCCUUUAUCAAUUAGUAAACUGAAGGAUUUGGGAGUAAUUGAUCUCUCAAACAAUCAUUUAUCUGGAAAGAUUCCAAUGAAUUGGAAUAAUUUCCACCAGCUUUGGACCAUAGAUCUAUCCAAGAACAAACUGUCAAGUGGGAUUCCAAGUUCGAUGUGUUCAAUAUCUUCACUUAGCUUGUUGAAAUUGGGUGACAACAAUCUUUCUGGGGAACUCUCUCCAAGCAUACAAAACUGCACAAGGUUGUACUCCCUUGAUCUUGGAAAUAACAGGUUUUCGGGCGAGAUACCCAAAUGGAUUGGAGAAAGAAUGUCAUCAUUGGGGCAACUUCGUUUACGAGGCAACAUGUUGACAGGAGAUAUUCCUGAACAACUGUGUCGGCUUUCUUAUCUCCAUAUUUUGGAUCUUGCACUUAAUAAUUUAUCAGGAUCCAUCCCACAAUGCUUAGGCAAUUUGACUGCUUUAAGUUCUGUGACCUUAUUAGGCAUAGAAUUUGAUGACAUGACCAGGGGGCAUGUCUCCUAUUCAGAGCGCAUGGAGCUAGUUGUGAAGGGACAAGAUAUGGAAUUUGAUAGCAUACUGCGAAUUGUGAAUUUGAUUGAUCUUUCUAGUAAUAACAUUUGGGGAGAGAUCCCAAAAGAGAUCACAAAUCUCUCGACCCUGGGUACCUUGAAUUUGUCCCGAAACCAGUUGACUGGAAAGAUACCUGAGAAGAUUGGAGCCAUGCAAGGGCUAGAAACUCUUGACCUCUCAUGCAAUUGCCUGUCAGGCCCAAUUCCUCCGAGCAUGUCUUCUAUAACCUCAUUGAACCAUUUGAACCUAUCGCAUAACCGCCUGUCAGGACCAAUUCCAACAACCAACCAGUUCUCGACAUUCAACGAUCCAUCCAUUUAUGAGGCGAACCUGGGACUUUAUGGGCCUCCAUUGUCAACCAACUGCUCCACCAACUGCUCCACUUUAAAUGAUCAAGAUCACAAAGAUGAGGAGGAAGAUGAAGAUGAAUGGGACAUGUCAUGGUUCUUCAUAAGCAUGGGAUUGGGCUUUCCGGUGGGAUUUUGGGCUGUAUGUGGCAGUUUGGUUCUAAAGAAGUCUUGGAGGCAGGCAUAUUUCCGGUUCAUUGAUGAAACCAGAGAUAGGCUAUAUGUCUUCACUGCAGUGAAUGUGGCUCGUCUGAAAAGGAAGAUGGAAGCAAAUGGAGUUCAUGGCUAAAAAGCUCUUUUGCAGAGGGUGAUAAGGUUUCAAAAUAACAAACAUCAUACAAAAAGAAGAUUGAAUACAAUGAUGAAUUCUCGGUGGUAAUAAAGAUUGCUUUUGGUACUAGUAGUAUUUGAGAACUCUAUCUUUGAAAUGUUGGCAAACAAUUAUUUUUCUUCAGGUAGGUUUGUUAUUUAUGAAUUGUCAUUUAAGUGAGAAAAGUUGUAAUAUUAGGUUGGAUACUCAACCUACUUUUGAUAUUUUUGAGUCAUCUAUGCCUUAAAAUUGUCCUUUCAACUUUUAUGUUUAUGUUAAUUUGGUAGUUGAUUA